rnacentral:rRNA from 1 species
UACGUAGGGGGCUAGCGUUGUCCGGAAUCAUUGGGCGUAAAGGGUGCGUAGGCGGCGCGGUAAGUCGGGUGUGAAAUCUCGGGGCUUAACUCCGAAACUGCAUUCGAUACUGCCGUGCUUGAGGACUGGAGAGGAGACUGGAAUUUACGGUGUAGCGGUGAAAUGCGUAGAUAUCGUAAGGAAGACCAGUGGCGAAGGCGGGUCUCUGGACAGUUCCUGACGCUGAGGCACGAAGGCCAGGGGAGCAAACGGG